rnacentral:rRNA from 1 species
UACGUAGGGUGCGAGCGUUGUCCGGAAUUAUUGGGCGUAAAGAGCUCGUAGGCGGUGUGUCACGUCGGCCGUGAAAACCUGGGGCUUAACUCUGGGCGUGCGGUCGAUACGGGCAUCACUAGAGUUCGGCAGGGGAGACUGGAAUUCCUGGUGUAGCGGUGAAAUGCGCAGAUAUCAGGAGGAACACCGGUGGCGAAGGCGGGUCUCUGGGCCGAAUGACUGACGCUGGAGUGAGCGAAAGCCAGGGGAGCAAACGGG